UACGUAGGGGGCGAGCGUUGUCCGGAAUUAUUGGGCGUAAAGAGCUCGUAGGUGGUUCGGUAAGUCGGAUGUGAAAUCUCCAGGCUCAACCUGGAGGGGUCAUUCGAUACUGCCGUGACUAGAGUUCGGUAGAGGAGUGUGGGAAUUCCUGGUGGAGCGGUGAAAUGCGCAGAGAUCAGGAGGAACACCCGUAGCGAAGGCGGCACUCUGGGCCGAUACUGACACUGAGGAGCGAAAGCGUGGGGAGCGAACAGG
rnacentral:rRNA from 1 species